ensembl:lncRNA
CACAAGCACCACCCGCUCAGGCUGCCAGGUAGCUGGCAGAAUUUGGGGUUGUGUCUUUUAAAUGCUUGGAAGUUCUGAAACCGAAUAUUUUAUUUUAUUUUAUUUAUUUAAAUCUUGAGCUUGAAGUCAUCUGCUUUCAAGUAGUUUGUGACUGAAGAGUGCAUUGUGUAAUGCAGAUGGAGAAGGCUGGCUGAGGGAAUACAGGUUGCAUUAGGUUGGUCUUCAUGAGUGCUUGAAAGUACAGUGAGGCUUUCCUGAUUGCUGCAAAAAGUAUUUAAAUGCUGUGUUCAGAAUGCAAGUAGCAAAAAAGUAUGAGAAACUAUGCUACAGUAGCAAUGUGAAAAACAACAACAUGUGUAUACUGGAGUUGACACGGUGGGUCACAUCUGUAGCCAGACUUCUCCAGUACCCAGUGACCAGCAGCACAGAUUGAAGAAGAUGGUAUGGAAACACCUUCAAAAAUCAUCUGCAGAAAAUUAUUACCAGGAAUAAAGGACUAUAACAUCUAGGGAUGUUACACUGGCACAGGAUAUGCAGUCCCAAGCACUGUCUACAGUUGUGGAGAAGAACUGUAAAAGCUCCUGGUUAUGCAACCGAGGGGCAUGGCCUACAAAGGUGAUGCUGCUCAGUGUCUGUGCUGGAAACAAUGAGGAAAUGCCACAGACUCCUGUUCCGCAGGUAGCUCAGUGGGAGCAAAAAGCAAAAAGAGGAGAGAGCAAAUUAAAGAGGAUGAGAGAAUGCUUUUUUAAGGCAAAGUUGUGA